GACGAACGCUGGCGGCGUGCUUAACACAUGCAAGUCGAACGGAAAGGCCCUGCUUUUGUGGGGUGCUCGAGUGGCGAACGGGUGAGUAACACGUGAGUAACCUGCCCUUGACUUUGGGAUAACUUCAGGAAACUGGGGCUAAUACCGGAUAGGAGCUCCUGCUGCAUGGUGGGGGUUGGAAAGUCUCGGCGGUUGGGGAUGGACUCGCGGCUUAUCAGCUUGUUGGUGGGGUAGUGGCUUACCAAGGCUUUGACGGGUAGCCGGCCUGAGAGGGUGAACGGCCACAUUGGGACUGAGAUACGGCCCAGACUCCUACGGGAGGCAGAAGUGGGGAAUAUUGCACAAUGGGCGGAAGCCUGAUGCAGCAACGCCGCGUGCGGGAUGACGGCCUUCGGGUUGUAAACCGCUUUCGCCUGUGACGAAGCGUGAGUGACGGUAAUGGGUAAAGAAGCACCGGCUAACUACGUG
rnacentral:rRNA from 1 species